UGUGUCUUUUCUUUGAAGCAU
rnacentral:piRNA from 1 species